CGCCUGUUUAUCAAAAACAUGUCUUUUUGUAUUUAAUUUAAAGUCUAAUCUGCCCACUGAUUUUUAAUUAAAGGGCUGCAGUAAUUUGACUGUACAAAGGUAGCAUAAUCAUUAGUCUUUUAAUUGAAGACUUGUAUGAAAGAUUUGAUGAGAUAUAAACUGUCUCUUUAUUACAAUUAAAAUUUAAUUUUUUAGUUAAAAAGCUAAAAUAUUUUUAAAAGACGAGAAGACCCUAUAGAGUUUUAUAGUUUUUAUUAUAAAAUAUUUAUAUAAAAUUUUAAUGUUAUAUUAUAAAAAUUAUUUUGUUGGGGAGAUAAAAAAAUUAAAUAAACUUUUUUAAAUAUUUUCAUGAAUAAUUGAGUAAUUGAUCCAUAUUUAUUGAUUAAAAGAAAAAAUUACCUUAGGGAUAACAGCGUAAUAUUUUUUUUUAGUACAAAUAAGAAAAAAAGUUUGCGACCUCGAUGUUGGAUUAAGAUAAAAUUUAAAUGUAAAAGUUUAAAAUUUUGAUCUGUUCGAUCAUUAAAAUCUUACAUGAUCUGAGCUCAAACCGG
rnacentral:rRNA from 1 species